rnacentral:rRNA from 1 species
GAUGAACGCUGGCGGCGUGCCUAAUACAUGCAAGUCGAGCGCACGGGAGCUAGCUUUCUAGCUCGAAGGAUUGGCGAACGGGUGUGUAUUACAUAAGCAACCUAUCCACAAAAGCUUGGAAUAUCUCUGGAAAACGGGACUAAUUCCGGAUAGAUAUUCUGAAGCCAUCUUCUCGUUAGUAAAGGUUGAAAUUGCUGGUAGUUAUACUUAUGUCCGAUUAGCUAUUGGGUGAGGUAACGGCCAACCAAGACGAUGAUGCGUAGCCGUCCUGAGAGGGUGAAAGGCCACAUCGGGACUGAGACACGGACCAGACUGCUACGGGAGGCAGGAGUAGGGAAUUUUAGGCAAUGGGGGCAACCCGGACCGAGCAACGCCGCGUGAGUGAAGCCGGCCUUCGGGUUGUAAAGCUAUGUUGUAAGGGAAGAACGGUAGAUAGAGAAUAUCUAAGUGACGGUACCUUACCAGAAAGCCACGGCUAACUACGUG